rnacentral:misc_RNA from 1 species
GAUGAAGAACGCAGCGAAAUGCGAUACGUAAUGUGAAUUGCAAAUUCAGUGAAUCAUCGAGUCUUUGAACGCACAUUGCGCCCUUUGGCAUUCCGAAGGGCACACCUGUCCGAGCGCCGUCGCACAACUGAGGCGCAGCCUUGCGUUGGCGGGCGACUUGUGAGUAGCGAGUCGCCGCCCAAACGAGACGGCGCCGCGCCGCGGCCGACGAAGCACGAAAGCGGAAGUCGACGCGGAGGCGGUUGCCUGUAGGAAGACACAGCUUGGCCUCGGAUCAGGUGGGGAUACCCGCUGAACUUAAGCAUAUCAAUAAGCGGAGGA